CUUAAUAUUUGGUACAGAAACCUACCAAUUUUUUUCAGCUCCAAGGGCCAGUACAUCAAGAGCCAGACUAGUGCAACAUUUUGGGUCAGUCACAGAGGAGGAAGAAUCAGAGACGAGGACCAGUGGAUUGGAAUCCACUCCAGUUUUAAACAUUGAUGAAGAAAUAGCAAUACUUCAUAGAGAAAUUAACAUCCUCCUAGCUGACUUAGAAGACCCUGGGUGUUCAAAUCCUGCUGUGCCUGGUGCAUCGCACAGUUGGAGUGUGAGGAAGGAACUCUCACAGGAUAGGUGGAGGGAGUCCAGGCCUGAGAUGGUAGAUUCUCUACGAUGUAGAGACUGUCUGCCGAAACAGCUGUACUGCGAAGACUGCGAUGUCUCUACACAUGCAAAGUUCCCCCUGCACAACAGACAGUCCAUCAUCAAGGGGUUCUACACGCCUCUUCCUCCAACUACAGCCAUCUCUCUCCACAGUGAUGGCAAAUAUGCUCUUCAUGAACAGGGUGUGUUUAUUUAUUUUUUGCGGCUGAAUGUAUUAUAUCAAGGUUCAAAUGUAUUCUUGUAUAUUGUUGUAUAUAAAUAUUGUCCCUAGAUUGUUUCUUACCAUUGGAUGUACCAGAGGUGAUAUGUGGUUGCCUGACAAGCACCAUCCAUGUUGGCCCCUGGAAACAUAUAGUCCUCGUAGUAAUAAAUGGUAUGUGCAAUUUCUACAAGAACCAAACAGUGAUGGAGCAAUGCAAUGUAAAACAAACUUAAUUCAGACUACAUUUUUUUCCUCAAGCUCGCUGCAAUGUCACAGUGCCUGCUGCAAUGUAACAGCAAACUUGGCAGAUCUGAUAAAGAAUGGGUACUGGCCUGCCACUGUCAACUGUGACACCAUAUACCAGGUAGAUCUGUUCAGCUCUUUUGAGGAGCUGAAAGUGUCAGCCCCAGGAAUGUCCCGUCUGGCAUUUAUGUGGAGUUUGGAGCAGCAAACUGACUUCUUUGGCAGGGUAACAAUCAAUUAUACUCAGCUUUACCAAUGUAUGACUUCAGGUUAACUAUGUUACAUUUUGUUACAACACUUUGUGUAACAACUUUAUUUCCAGUACUAUAACUAUGUUAAAACUUCAGGUCUCUUGCUACAGUAUGUGUUAGCCUCCUGCACCACUGUCCUGCGAUGCACCUUAUCUGUGCCCCUCUUGCUACAGUAUGUGUUAGCCUCCUGCACCACUGUCCUGCGAUGCACCUUAUCUGUGCCCCUCUUGCUACAGUAUGUGUUAGCCUCCUGCACCACUGUCCUGCGAUGCACCUUAUCUGUGCCCCUCUUGCUACAGUAUGUGUUAGCCUCCUGCACCACUGUCCUGCGAUGCACCUUAUCUGUGCCCCUCUUGC